GUGCAUACACUGAUAGACCUUGAACAGUUUGUGGUUGUUCUUCUGGUUUGCAUUAGGAUGCAAAAGGAAACUCUUCCUGAGCUUCCUGAUUGCCUUUGUGGCAGUUCAGAUUGAAUUGUGGUGUACAUCU
ensembl:snoRNA LOC120099451 small nucleolar RNA SNORA31